AAUCAACGCUGGCGGCGUGCCUCAGACAUGCAAGUCGAACGAUUAAAGCUCUCUUCGGAGAGUGUAUAGAGUGGCACACGGGUGAGUAACACGUAAGUAAUCUACCUUUGAGUGGGGAAUAACGUCCGGAAACGGACGCUAAUACCGCAUAAUGCAGCGGCAUCGCAAGAUGACAGUUGUUAAGAUUAUCGCUUGAAGAGGAGCUUGCGGC
rnacentral:rRNA from 1 species